ensembl:snRNA U6 U6 spliceosomal RNA
AUGCUCGGUUCGGCAGCACAUACACUAAAAUUGGAACAAUACAGAGAAAAUUAGCAUGGCCCCUGCACAACGAUGAUAUGCAAACUCAUGACGUGUUCCACAUUUUU